rnacentral:rRNA from 1 species
GACGAACGCUGGCGGCGUGCCUAAUACAUGCAAGUAGAACGCUGAAGAGAGGAGCUUGCUCUUCUUGGAUGAGUUGCGAACGGGUGAGUAACGCGUAGGUAACCUGCCUUGUAGCGGGGGAUAACUAUUGGAAACGAUAGCUAAUACCGCAUAACAAUGGAUGACCCAUGUCAUUUAUUUGAAAGGGGCAAAUGCUCCACUACAAGAUGGACCUGCGUUGUAUUAGCUAGUAGGUGAGGUAACGGCUCACCUAGGCGACGAUACAUAGCCGACCUGAGAGGGUGAUCGGCCACACUGGGACUGGGACACGGCCCAGACUCCUACGGGCGGCAGCAGUAGGGAAUCUUCGGCAAUGGGGGCAACCCUGACCGAGCAACGCCGCGUGAGUGAAGAAGGUUUUCGGAUCGUAAAGCUCUGUUGUAAGUCAAGAACGAGUGUGAGAGUGGAAAGUUCACACUGUGACGGUAGCUUACCAGAAAGGGACGGCUAACUACGUG